GCUUAGCCGUAAAAUAUUAACUUACACCUAACCCGCCAAGGAAUUACGAGCCCAAGCUUAAAACCUAAAGGACUUGACGGUGUCCCAUCCCCCUAGAGGAGCCUGUUCUAUAAUCGAUUCUCCCCGAUAAACCUCACCAUCUCUUGAUUAUCAGCCUGUAUACCUCCGUCGCAAGCUUACCAUGUGAAGGUACUUAGUGAGCUUAAAGGUUAAUAACCAGAACGCCAGGUCAAGGUGCAGCCUACGAGAAGGGAAGAAAUGGGCUACAAUUUCUAUAUUAGAACAAACGGAAAGCUGCAUGAAACACAGCUAUUGAAGGCGGAUUUAGUAGUAAAAAGAAAAUAGAGAGUUCUUUUUAAUAAGGCCCUGGGACGCGUACACACCGCCCGUCACCCUCUUCAAACCA
rnacentral:rRNA from 1 species